GCAGGAUGGUGUGUGGGACGGGAGGGACAGGGCAGUGCCUGAGGCGGGAAGAGCCGUGCCUGAGGCGGGAGAGGCGGGAAAGGCAGUGCUUGAGGCGGGAAGGUCGGUCCCUGAGGCGGGAGAAGUGGAAAGGUGUUUGCCUGAGGCGGGAAGGGCAGUGCUUGAGGCGGGAAGUGCGAUGCCUGAGGCGGCAAGACCGGGACCGUCCCCGAGGCGGGAGGGGUGGUGCCUGAGGCGGUAGGGGCGGGGAGGACCCUGAGCAGAUGAAGGGCGGGGCGGUACCUGAGGCGGUACCUGAGGCGGGACGGGCGGUACGUGAGGCGGGACGGGCGGUGUUUGAGGCGGGACGGGCGGUGUUUGAGGCGGGACGGGCGGUACGUGAGGCGGGACGGGCGGUGCCGCCCCUGAUGGGGGAGGGGUCUGCACGUGACGCGGGAAGGGCGGUGCCGCCGCGCUGGGUCCGCGAGGCGUGGCCGCGGUACGUGCGCUCCGCUCUCAUUGGCCCGGAACGCGGAAGAGCCGGUGGCGCCUGCGCGUUGGUGCCGCCGGGAGAGCUGUGAGGCGAUGGAGGCGGUGGCGCGGCGGCCGCAGGAGCGGCGGCAGGAGCGGAACGGGCGGCUGGAGCAGGGGAAUGGCGGCCAGCCGCUGUCACGAUCGCUGUCGAUGUCGGGACAGUCCUACUGGCUGGACCUGUGGCUCUUCGUCCUCUUCGACCUGGCGCUCUUCGUGGUCAUCUACUUGCUGCCCUGAGGGCGCGGGCCCAGAGUCGCUGUGUCGCCGCGGGGAUGCACCUCGUAAACACGAACAGUGGAGGAGGAGGACCAUUUGUGCGGGAUAAGCAGCUGGGAACACGGCUCCACUUGCAGCUGGAUGCAAGAGGCAGAUAUUUAUAUUAAUACCAUAAUAUAUCUCUGUCUGUGUCACAAUAUUACCGCUACAGGUUUUUACCUGUUUCUGUGUCCUGUUUCUGUGCUCUAAACUGUGCCUUAAAGGUUGUGUAAGAUGGAUGGACUGGGCUUGUGUAAUCAGUGCCUGAAGGUCUGUGCAGCAGAAAGGGAAGAAAGCACUGCUUGAAUUAAACCCACUGAAAGGACACUCUGCAGAGUGGCCAAGAAUAAAACCCUGCUCUUGCCUGGACUCAAAUUGUAACUCAGACCUGUUCCCACAACAGGUGAAGCUUAACCAGCUGUUUUACUUCCAAAAAGUUAAUUGUCAGGGUUUGAUGCUGUUUGGGUUUCUAUUACACCUUUCUUUCUUCUCUACCUUCAGCAGUUACUGAGCCUCCUCAGGGUCAGUAUUUAUAUAUAUAUAUAUAUGUAUAUUUAUAGUAAGCUUUGUAUCCAGUCAGGUUUUGGAGAAGACAGUCUUCCAACUAUGGAUGAAGGGGGCUCAGUUUUCUUUAGUAUUCUUCCCUUGAGAAUGCUAGUUUCUAAUUCUGAGAAGCACAGUUCAUAGUUGGUUUGGUUUUUUUUUCAGGAAUAAAUAUAAUAACUAGAUUGCAGAGA